UCAGUAUUGAAUGUUCAGAGCUCGAUUAGGCCAUGAUAAUGAUGUUUUCUGUAAAUCAAAAUUAUACAAAAGUUCAAGAUUGUGUUGCGAUACAUAUGUACACAAAGUUUUAGAUUUUUUGGGUUUAUGGUAUGGUAGAUAUAAAAAUGUAAAGCUUGCUGCCUGAAAUUUCAGAUAGAUUCUGAAGUCUGAUUUUAGUUGUAGUUUAGGCCACCUUAAUGGCAGUAUAAAAAUAUGGUAUUUCCAUAAAAGUUGUAGGUAUUGUUCUGUAGUUUUCAAAAAUGUAUUUGUUUCCUAUCAUUUCUGUUGUAAAUAAAAAGAUACGAAAAAGUGAAGCAACAUUGCUGCAGUUAAACGAAUGUGACGAGUGUCGGUUUGUUCGUUGGAUGGGUUGCGGGGUGUAGGACUAUAUUCCUUGCUGUUUGUAUUUCAUGUGGUAUGAUGUGGUGAUGAUAUAUGGGCGCUUGAGCAGGUGGUGUUGCACCGAUGCAUGUAUGUCUUGUCUUCAUCGUCGGUAAAGGCAAGUGAGCGUGGCGGUUGUUGCCACAACUUUAGCUUGUUAUAUUUGCUUCCUCCACUUAUAAUAAUGCAGCACACAAGAUUAUACUCAUUAAUUUGGAGGAUUAUACCUACUUGCUCUGGAUCUAUGAAUUUGGCUUAAUAUUUUGGUUAUGGUUGAUGGAGUCUUAUGCAAUAGUGAUGAUGCCUUGUCGGUUUAGUCAUUUCUAGCACAACCUCAUAUUAUGUCUAAUGGUUAGUUCACUUGAGGAUCAUGAUGUCGGUUAUGUAGAAGCUUAUAGAAGAGGACAUGCUUUGACUUGUAGGUGGGCAUUUAAUUCUUUUUGGAAGGUUGUUUCAUAUGUCUAUAACUAGUUGGAAUAUAACCUUUUGAAACCUUAUGCAUGUUAAAUGAUAAGCUAGCAAAAGCAUAUUUGUUAUCUUUCUAUGCCCUACAUAGAAUUAAACUUGUAAUAUGUGGUUAUGAAAUGGGGUAGGCCUUGCUCUUUCAAAGCAAGUUUAAUGUUGAUGUAUGUGUAUGUCCUUGUCAUCUGCACUUUAACAGGAAGAAGGAAUUGUGGAUAUGUGUGGAUGGAAGUGGCUUAUAUUAAUUAUGUAGAAAAUGCUUUUAUGUUGAUGUAUGUUCACAGUUGUGUACUAUGCGAUUUAUAUUUUGGCAUUUGAAGUAUAUCAUGUGCAUUGUACUGCAUUGCAUUUCAUAUGCAUUGGAAGUUAUGUCGUAAAGAUCACGACCGUACCGGUACACAUUGUACGUUGCCCGAGGAGGGGUGCGAUGUAAAAGAAGACAUGUCAUUGCAUUCGUAUGCAUGUCAUAUGGAUUGAUUGUUGGAUAUAUUGAAGUUGCAUUGGAGGUCAUUAUGAGAAGUGACGUUUCUCCGUGGAUAUGUUCAUUGUGGUAUGACUUGUGAACUUAUGAAGGUAUUGAAGUCCUACGUGGAUUUGCAUUGCAUAGUAUCCAUAUGCAUCAUAUUGUGUUACAGUAAUCUUCCAUAUUCAAUUUGGAUGUGAUGAAUGGUAUGUAGAUGUUUGAGUAAGUUUACUAAUUGUAGAAGGUAUGUGGUUGCGAGUGAGUUAUCCUUAAAACUGUCAUUUAUUAUUAAUGUGGCUUGAACUCUAUUCAUGAUGUCUUGGAUGAUUAUAUUAUCAUACAAGUUCUAUUUAACUCUUAGAAGUUAAAAUCAUUUAUUGAUGUUGAUAUCAUGCCAUAUGGGAUAGAUAGUUUUUUUUUCUAUCUUGCUUAUGUUAUAGUUAUGUUUGCUAUGAACACGUUUUUAUUGAUCUUCUUUUAGAAGUAACUAUUUAACUUGCUUAAAAAUGAACAUGAUGAAUAAUACCAUGUCUUUUAUACAUGUUUAAGUUUUAAAGUGAUGCUUUAAAUACUGUGGUUUAAAUAGCUUGUUAAAGUGGUUCGCUUGCUGAGAUUACCCAAUCUCACUCUUGCAAUAUUCCUCCGCAGGUUGUUGUACUUGAAGCUAGCAUGGAGGGAAGGGAUUAGAAGCACGUCUUGCGCUUCAUGAAGCAGGGGAGAGGGAGGUUCCAUCCGAGGAGGGGAGGAGACACAGGAAGCUGAGGGAGGUUCGUUCUGAAGAGGGGACUAAGACCAAGAGAAUUCAUUCAGCGCCAUGAAACUUAGUUGAAAGAGAAUGUACCCAGACUUCUCUCAUAACCCGGUGGUGCCUAGUUAACUAAGAAAGUUCACUUUAUGAUAGGGUGCUUGGAGACUUUAUAUCACACGAUAUUUGCAUUCAAUCCAAAUCAUCUUCAAAAUCGUGAACUGCAAGGUGAGCAGUUCUAGAACCAUCUAAAUAUUUUUGUACAUGAACAUAAUUACUGAAAUAAAAAUUAUUAGCUGACCUUAUAGUAUAGUUAAUUUUAAACAUCUUUAUUCGGAUUGUGCAGCCUUCUAGUGGUCGUUAGUCAUGGGCAAUAGGGACCUUAAAUUCAUGAAAAGAUUUGUUGAAAAAAGAUAGGUGUACCUGGAAACAGUGGUGUGACCUACGUUGGAAAUUUAUGGCUACAAGUUAACCUCAAAGGAUAGUUUUGUAAAAGAUAAUGCUAGAUAGUGCUAAUGAUUGUAGUUUACAAUUAGACAUGUUAUUUUGUAUUUGUUUCCAUGGAUGUUUGCUUCAUCAUGAUUUUUAUAUUAUUCUUAUGUUUCCAAUGGUUAUUCACAAUUUUCUGUCUAAAAUAUCAUUGAAAACAUCCAAAUAAAUUUCAUUGACUAAUGUGAUUAUGUUCUAUUUGAUUAUGGAUUUUUUGUUUUCUGACAGAUGCCUUAACAGUGCACUAAUAAUUUGUAAUGUUGUGGACUUAAUGGCUCUAUACUGCACAUUGUAAGACAACUUUGUUAGUCAUUGGAUGCAUACCAUUUUUUAUUAGCUGGUCCAUUUUCAUGGGAGACUUGGAAUGGAUAUUUUUUAUCAGCCCCCCC